GACGAACGCUGGCGGCGUGCUUAACACAUGCAAGUCGAGCGAUGAAAUUCUCUUCGGAGAAUGGAUUAGCGGCGGACGGGUGAGUAACACGUGGGUAACCUGCCUUAUAGUGGGGGAUAGCCUUUCGAAAGGAAGAUUAAUACCGCAUAAUAUUGUAGUUUCGCAUGAAACAACAAUUAAAGAUUUAUCGCUAUAAGAUGGACCCGCGGCGCAUUAGCUAGUUGGUGGGGUAACGGCCUACCAAGGCGACGAUGCGUAGCCGACCUGAGAGGGUGAUCGGCCACAUUGGGACUGAGACACGGCCCAGACUCCUACGGGAGGCAGCAGUGGGGAAUAUUGCACAAUGGGGGAAACCCUGAUGCAGCAACGCCGCGUGAGUGAUGACGGUCUUCGGAUUGUAAAAGCUCUGUCUUUAGGGACGAUAAUGACGGUACCUAAGGAGGAAGCCACGGCUAACUACGUG
rnacentral:rRNA from 1 species